rnacentral:rRNA from 1 species
GACGAACGCUGGCGGCGUGCUUAACACAUGCAAGUCGAACGGAAAGGCCCUGCUUUUGUGGGGUGCUCGAUUGGCGAACGGGUGAGUAACACGUGAGUAACCUGCCCUUGACUUUGGGAUAACUUCAGGAAACUGGGGCUAAUACCGGAUAGGAGCUCCUGCUGCAUGUUGGGGGUUGGAAAGUGUCGGCUGUUGGGGAUGGACUCGCGGCUUAUCAGCUUCUUGGUGGGGUAGUGGCUUACCAAGGCUUUGACGGGUAGCCGGCCUGAGAGGGUGACCGGCCACAUUGGGACUGCGAUACGGACCAGACGGCUAUGGGCGGCAGUAGUGGGGAAUAUUGCGCAAUGGGCGGAAGCCUGAUGCAGAAACGCCGCGUGCGGGAUGACGGCUUUUGGGUUGUAAACAGCUUUCGCAUGAGACGAAGAGUGCGUGACGGUAAUGGGUAAAGAAGCACCGGCUAACUACGUG